GGGUCCUUUGAAAAUCACACUCCAAAAAAAAAAAAAAAGCAUGCAACACCUAGCUUCGACAACAACGAGACAAAUUAAUUUAGAUAUAGUUAGCAGAAACACGACACCAACAAUGGUGGUCAUCUCGACAAGGAAGAGCUAAGGGCGGCGCUCCAAUCUCUUGGUAAUCGUCUGCCCGGCUGGAGAGCCUCUCGUGCGCUCCAUCAUGCCGAUGCCAAUAAUGAUGGACUCAUCGAUGAGGAGGAGCUCAAAGCCCUCAUCCAGUAUGCUAGUAAAAUUGGAUACUCUGUUAAAUAAUAUAUAUACCCAAACUACAUAUACUACUGAUCAUGUUGUACUCAUGUCCAAGUAGUUAUAAAAUCAUGUUCUGUUUAAAA